CAGCAGAACACUUUGCAAGAAAGCAUUCUCUAGUGAGGAAAAUACCAAGUCACUAAUAUAUGCCAGAAGCAAUUUAUUCUCCGUGAAUUUUCAAACAACAUGAAGGAAGGAUUCCAAAGUUUCUUGGCAAGCAACAUUGCAGCAGUACCACGCAUGGAAUUUCCUGCAAGCCUGCUUGCUCCUUGGGAAGGCACAGACUUGCCAUCCAUCCCUCCACGGCCGGUCCACAAGAGAUCAGCAGGGUGUGCCGGGCUCUGCACAGCCCAUGCACACGGGCUGGCACCAUGCCGGUCACUUCCACGGCUCCCUUCAGCUCUACACCUAUGAGGAAACCUGACGCUAACAGCUGAGAGGCCAUCAUCCACAGCACUACCCCGGGGCUGUUACUUUACAUUUCACCAAAGGGAAAACAAAAAUAAUGUUAUAUCUGCAGUAUGAACGUCCUGUGAUUUCCAUUUCCUGGGCAACUCGACAAGUGCCUUUUCACGUAAGCACUGGAACAAAACCAAGAGUGAAGGCUGCGUACAAAUGGCGACUCCCAAGCUCUAAGCAUCCCUUAGCAGUCAGAUGCAGCUCAGCGUUCACCCAGUACAGGCAGAACGUCCCAGGGCAGCCAGCUCCUCCCUCUCUCCACUGGGGAGACGGCAGUGUGCACCGGCGCCAAAGGGCAGAGUGCUGGCGGCACCAACUCAUGUCUCACCACCUCCUGCCAUUGCGAGCACACCGCGUGCCAUCCCAGAACAAAGGCUGUGGCUCCGGAAAGAGAGGGGAGCACAGCACCCUGCCGCCCACCUGGGCACUGAGCACCCGGCACUUACACACAUGUAUCACCACAAAGGGGCUGUGUGGGCUGCUCCUGCGGGUGGGAGCUAAGCCUGGCCCCACGCACGUCCCAUCAGCUGUUCUCUGCACCAGGGCAGAGGUGAUGCUAUCAACGUGGCCUUCAUUUUUCAUCAGGAACGGGCUGAUCAGCAUAACCAAACCCGACUACAAGCCCUCGGCAUCUCAGUGUAGCCCAUCAUUCCGCUGCAAAACAAAAAGGCUCGCGACUGCAAUUCAGAAAAUGUAGCCUAGCAGAGAGGAGAGUUCCUCCAGAAAGUGUCUAUUUAUAUAAUCGCUGCGGCGCUCAGAUACCAUGGAAAUAAGUAAAGAAUAAUAUCUUGGGGGAGUCUGUGGCACUGCAGAUUGGAGCAGCAGUCGCUGUUGCUGCCAAACGCGAGCCCCCGCUGGUGCUCCUGCCCCCGGGCUGCCCACGAGCUGCCAUGCUUCAGCAUCACGCUGCAUUCUGCACGGAUUUCACCAGACUGCUUCCAGCCCCGUUUCCCUUCUCCGGGCUCACGGGCACCCACCGCUCCCUGCCCUGUGCUCCAGGGACCGCAGCCAGAUCACAGCAAUCCCUCACCGGGCUCUCGCACAGGGAUGUUGCUGGAAGGGCAAUGGCCACACAAACCUGUGCCCUCCGCCUGCAAUUUGCCACCAGCUAUCCCUUGUUAUUCCCUGAUAGAAUCUGGAAGUUCUGGAUCCAGAAGGCGUCAGCGCACAUCCAGCCCCCUGGUCAUUCACUCAUGGCAAAGUGAUGACCUGGAGGACCAAAGAGGGUUUAAAUGCUAUAAAGAGUAAGGAUCCAAUUAGCAGAACAGACCAGGCUGGAAUUAGCAUUCGAGGAUAAAGGCAGAAAAGGAAAACAUGAAGUAUCAGGAAGAGAUACAUGAAAUUAUCUCUCUGGAGUGAAGCAGCAGAAGCUCCACUGCUCGGUCUAUUUAAAACUAAGUUGGACACAGAGAAAUGAGCACAGGAGCUCCAUUUCAGCAGGAAGAGGGCUCAGGUUACUUUCAUCUUCAGUCCUCGCAGCUGGCUGUCUCUAAGCAGGAAGCGCCAUGUGUUUGCCUGCGAGUAGUAACAGAGUUCUGCCAGUCCUACUGCUGCCUCUGGCAAUUCCAAGGCAUUUUUCCAUAUAGACCUUAGGAAGAGUAUGAAGAACCACCAGAGCGAAGGCUGCAUCUCAACUGCAUGCUCAGAGUGAGGAGGCAGUCACACACACACACACAUCUGUGUAUGCUUCUGGGAAAAGUCACAAGGUUGCAACAGGAAGAAAAAAACGUGGGUCAAAGCAGAAACACCCAUUGAUUUCAACGUGACGGAGGGUGGAGAACUGCUGAACCUGGGGCAGGCUGUGUGCCAUACCUGUACCGCUGCCCUGAGGAACCACAAGCCAAGGGCUGCUGCUGCGCUGCUGGGCUUUCAGGACUGAAAGAGGAGAAAUACGUUUGUCACAUUUAUUGGGGUUCUUCUGACUUCUCGUUAAUCUCAUCGCCUCUCCCGGCAAAGCUCCUGCUUCCUUAAGCAGCUGCCUGCACCGCAUUAAGGAGGAAGCUGUUCAUCCCGAGUCACAUGUGCCAGCCUUUCCUCCCUUCUCUCAGGAAAGGUGAUUUCAAACUAGAGCACCUGCCCCAUUAGGCUGGAGAGGAAUUCAGCCCAGCUGCUAUCUAUCUUAAUGGCCCUUUGAGCGUCGCCUUUACGUUCAGAGUCUCCUGUUUUAACCAGGGGCUUCCCACAGGCCAAGAAACGCUUUGGGGGCUCUGCUCACCGCACAGGCCGUGCUGGCAGCGCGUGGGCUCCGUCCACACCAAGCACCCCACGUCCCCCCGGGACAGGACAGGGACUUCCACCUCUCACGGUGGACACAGAGCCUUGGGAGCAGGAGGAGCCAGCAGUGGCUCCGUGUCGCCGUUCCCCUUCCUGCAUGGAGGGUGGCGGUGAGGCCCUGAGUGAGAACGCAGGCACCGACGACCAGACGUUGUAUAUGAGAACUGAGAGUGAAGCAGUUGGUUUUGUGGCUGUACGUUUGCUACAGUCACGGGGAAUCACUCCACCUGAAACGGAAUUUCAGCCCCUCCAGGCCUUCACACAUUCCUCGUUUUAAUCCCUCCUGAAAGUAUUUUUCGGCAGCCGUUUCUCACUGGGGCACGGAGGUGGGAGUGGGAUGUGGCACUGAGAUGCAGGACGGGGAGAAGGACAAAGGACCGGGACGUGGGACGUGGAGACGGGACGCGGGUAGGAUGUGAGAUGUGGGAUUGGGGCGCAGGGUGUGGAAGUGGGACACGGGGAUGGGGACACGGAAGAAGGCUAUAGGACGUGGAGCUGAGCCACGGGGCACGCACGUGAGGGGUCGGGAGCCACGCGGGGCAGUGAGGAGCAGCUCGAGCAGGCUGCCCCCGGGCAGCAGAACGGCGGCGGCCCGGCCCGGCAGAGCUCUGGGGGAUGUCAGCUGGGCGCCCCGUCGCCCCAUCCCCGCCGGUAGUUCAGCACUGCGCCCGCUGAAACAGGGAAAGCGAGGCCCGAGCUCAGAGCACGGCCCGGCUUGCGGCGGGCAGCUCGGGGCCGUUGCCGGAAAGGGGCCGAGCGGCGACACCGGAGCGCUCCGUUCCCGCUCCGCUCGCUGCUGCCCGAAGACGGACGCGGCGUUUCCCCGCGCGUUCCUCCCCAG
ensembl:lncRNA